CCCCGAAGGUCGGGGUCCCAAGACCCCCCAGCGGAAAAAUGGCCAAGAAACGGGUGGGCUAUAGCCUUGGUGGGGGGCGUGGGCGAAGUUCGUCCGCGGGACUCGGAAUGGCCCCAGACUUGGCGGGCGGCCUCCGUGUGCCAAAAAUAGGCCACGGGCACAGCCGCGCCCAAAAAUCAGCCCCCGAAGGUCGGGGUCACAAGACCCCCCAGCGGAAAAAAGGCUAAGAAACGCGUGGGCUAUAGCCUUGGUGGGGGGCGUGGGCGAAGUUCGUCCGCGGGACUCGGAAUGGCACCAUACUUGGCGGGCGGCCUCCGUGUGCCAAAAAUAGGCCACGGGCACAGCCGCGCCCAAAAAUCAGCCCCCGAAGGUCGGGGUCCCAAGACCCCCCAGCGGAAAAAUGGCCAAAAAACGGGUGGGCUAUAGCCUUGGUGGGGGGCGUGGGCGAAGUUCGUCCGCGUGACUCGGAAUGGCCCCAGACUUGGCGGGCGGCCUCCGUGUGCCAAAAAUAGGCCACGGGCACAGCCGCGCCCAAAAAUCAGCCCCCGAAGGUCGGGGUCCCAAGACCCCCCAGCGGAAAAAUGGCCAAGAAACGCGUGGGCUAUAGCCUUGGUGGGGGGCGUGGGCGAAGUUCGUCCGCGGGACUCGGAAUGGCCCCAGACUUGGCGGGCGGCCUCCGUGUGCCAAAAAUAGGCCACGGGCACAGCCGCGCCCAAAAAUCAGCCCCCGAAGGUCGGGGUCACAAGACCCCCCAGCGGAAAAAAGGCCAAGAAACGCGUGGGCUAUAGCCUUGGUGGGGGGCGUGGGUGAAGUUCGUCCGCGGGACUCGGAAUGGCACCAUACUUGGCGGGCGGCCUCCGUGUGCCAAAAAUAGGCCACGGGCACAGCCGCGCCCAAAAAUCAGCCCCCGAAGGUCGGGGUCCCAAGCCCCCCCAGCGGAAAAAUGGCCAAGAAACGCGUGGGCUAUAGCCUUGGUGGGGGGCGUGGGCGAAGUUCGUCCGCGGGACUCGGAAUGGCCCCAGACUUGGCGGGCGGCCUCCGUGUGCCAAAAAUAGGCCACGGGCACAGCCGGGCCCAAAAAUCAGCCCCCGAAGGUCGGGGUCACAAGGACCCCCCAGCGGAAAAAAGGCCAAGAAACGGGUGGGCUAUAGCCUUGGUGGGGGGCGUGGGCGAAGUUCGUCCGCGGGACUCGGAAUGGCACCAUACUUGGCGGGCGGCCUCCGUGUGCCAAAAAUAGGCCACGGGCACAGCCGCGCCCAAAAAUCAGCCCCCGAAGUUCGGGGUCCCAAGACCCCCCAGCGGAAAAAUGGCCAAAAAACGGGUGGGCUAUAGCCUUGGUGGGGGGCGUGGGCGAAGUUCGUCCGCGGGACUCGAAAUGGCCCCAGACUUGGCGGGCGGCCUCCGUGUGCCAAAAAUAGGCCACGGGCACAGCCGCGCCCAAAAAUCAGCCCCCGAAGGUCGGGGUCCCAAGACCCCCCAGCGGAAAAAUGGCCAAGAAACGCGUGGGCUAUAGCCUUGGUGGGGGGCGUGGGCGAAGUUCGUCCGCGGGACUCGGAAUAGCCCCAGACUUGGCGGGCGGCCUCCGUGUGCCAAAAAUUGGCCACGGGCACAGCCGCGCCCAAAAAUCAGCCCCCGAAGGUCGGGGUCCCAAGACCCCCCAGCGGAAAAAUGGCCAAGAAACGGGUGGGCUAUAGCCUUGGUGGGGGGCGUGGGCGAAGUUCGUCCGCGGGACUCGGAAUGGCCCCAGACUUGGCGGGCGGCCUCCGUGUGCCAAAAAUAGGCCACGGGCACAGCCGCACCCAAAAAUCAGCCCCCGAAGGUCGGGGUCCCAAGACCCCCCAGCGGAAAAAUGGCCAAGAAACGCAUGGGCUAUAGCCUUGGUGGGGGGCGUGGGCGAAGUUCGUCCGCGGGACUCGGAAUGGCCCCAGACUUGGCGGGCGGCCUCCGUGUGCCAAAAAUAGGCCA
rnacentral:lncRNA from 1 species